rnacentral:lncRNA from 1 species
CUCUGCUGGAAGCCUGAUGGGAUUUUCUUGAAUCCUCACAGUGUAAAGCUGGUAGGUCUCCCGGAAAUAAAACUCGAGAAAGUGUGGGGCUCCAAGAAGACUUGGCCCCUGAGUUUUUACUCUCAAGUUAGUUUAGACUGAGCCUGAAGAAAUUCAUCAGUCACUGUUUAAAUGUUCCUCCAGUAACUGGGUCCAGAGGAUUCUCCUGAUCUAGAGACAGAAUCCAUGUGAAUGGAAAUGAUAAGUGCUACCUCCACAUCAGGCCCUUGGAAGCCUCCAUGUGCCUGUCACCAGCUUUUCCAUUUCCAGAUGACUGGGAUGGAUUCUGCCCUCAGAGAAACCUUCAAAGGAACUGAUAACACAUUGAUCCUGCCACCUAUUUUCCAGUCCUCAUCCCUAGCCUAGCCUCACUUUUCUCCACUUCCAGAUUGGAAUUCAUGGCCUAUCAUCAUUAUCACUCCCUUGAAACAUCCGCAACAGCCUACAUAAUCUGUUUUGCCCAUAAAACUGCCCAGAGAAUCUUCAGUCUGGGAAUCUUCCAUCAACUCUGUGCUUGAAGAAAAAGACCCAAACUUGUUGACUGGACUCAUUUUAAAUCAUGACCACUAACCUCAGGUGGGACCCUGAUGUGACUUGGCAAUCCUCUUACAAUUCCCCACUCCAGUAACUCUCCCACUCUCUCCAAGAAGUAUUUUACACCAUCUUCUCUUUCCUCAAAAUGCUAUACCACCACUACUCCUAUCCUACUCUUAGUUUUCUUCUAUUUCACCAAGAAAACAGUAAUAAUCACAGAAAACAAAUUCUAAAUGUACACAGCAUGCCAUUUCUAGCUCAUCCACCAUUGUUCUCAUAUAUUUAGUCCUCACUCCUAUUAAUAAUGAUGGAUGAUUCCACUUGUUCUCUAAACAUCAGAACUAUCCCUACCUACUGUACCACUUUACAGCAAAACUGCUCUCUCCAUGUCUUCUUCUUUCAGUCUUUCUUGAACUCACUAAUUUUCUCUCAUUACCCAACAAAAUAUCUUCA